UUUCUGUAGGUGAACCUGCGGAAGGAUCAUUA
rnacentral:ncRNA from 4 species